GGGCGAGUGGCGUAAUUGGUAGCCGCACUGGAUUUAGGUUCCAGCGUUUAAUAGACGUGAGAGUUCGAGUCUCUCCUCGCCCACCA
rnacentral:tRNA from 1 species